rnacentral:tRNA from 1 species
GGAAGUGCGAGUGAUUCUGGUGAUCACCCCGGACUUCAAAUCCGGUGUGGGGCGUUAGGAGCGUCCUGGGUGGGUUCGAUUCCCAUGCACUUCCGCCA